GGAAGGCUCGAAGGGUUUAAGCGCUCGGAAAAUCGUUGGCUAUCUCUCGCCCAAAGCUCAAACCAUAAGAAAUCUCCGAGGUAAGCAAUUGUCGCAUCAUCAAAACAUAUGUGUCUCUUUGUUUAGUUGAAUGCUGGCUGGAGAUUCAGGUUUGGAAGAGUGCGGUCGUGUUCGAGGAAAAUUGUAGGGAUUAGUUUUGUCGCCAAAACAAGAAAUCGAUUCUUUCGUUUUUCUUGGUUGUCUGAAGAUUAGGCAACGAGCAUGACUCGGGUUUACGUUGGGAACUUGGAUCCGCGAGUCGAUGAGAGGGAUCUCGAAGAUGAAUUUCGGAUUUACGGCGUUCUCAGAAGUGUUUGGGUUGCACGGAGGCCGCCUGGAUAUGCCUUUAUUGAGUUCGACGAUCACAGGGAUGCUUUGGAUGCAAUUCGGGAAUUAGAUGGGAAGAAUGGCUGGCGUGUGGAGCUCUCACACAAUUCUAAGGGAGGUGGUGGUGGUUGUGGACGUGGUGGGGGUGAGGACUCGAAGUGUUAUGAGUGUGGUAAGCCUGGUCAUUUUGCACGAGAAUGUCGCUUACGCAUUGGUUCACAAGGCUUAGGGAGUGGGCGUCGUCGCAGUCCCAGCCCUUGUCGCCGCAGGAGUCCUAGUUAUGGUCGCAGAAGUUACAGCCCUUGUGGGAGGAGGUCUCCAUGGCGUCAUAGCAUAACACCUCGUGGUGGAAGUAGCUACAGCAGGUCACCUCCUUAUCGCCGCUAUCGUCAGGACUCACCUUAUGCUAAUGGCAUAUCACCUGUUCGUGGCCCUGACUACAGUAGGUCACCUCCAUAUCGCCGUUCUCAUCGUGAUUAAGCUUAUGAUAAGGAGAUUAAGGCUGGAGCAGGAAGUCAAGUUAUUUGCAGCAGGACAGCAAAGGAUGACAUUUCUGCUAUACUGUAGCCCUGAUAGGAUUGUUAACUAUCGGUAGAGAUGCUUGAGUCCAUACGAUGACAAAUGGUCUGUCUGAACCUAGCUUCGGGUGGUUUCUGGUUCUAUGCCAUCUUGGCUGCCAAAAGGGGUGUUUUUGACUCUGUUUAGCGGCAGCUUGCUCCAUACAGCUUAUUGAAACCUGGAGGCUAAAUCAGCAACAUUUGGCCACUUACUGCUUAUUGCAUAUGGUUCACGACCUCUGCUCCUCUGCACCACAUCGUCUACUCGUGCUCCUUGUGCAUGUUCAGUUUGAAUGGCAAUUAAAACUGCAAACUUUGGUCACUUUGGUUGCGUAGCACACAUUUUAGAGUGCAUUCUUCUGCAACAAAGCCUCUGAUAUUCUUUUAGUAACAACUUUACUCUUCCGCCUGCUGGUUGGAGAAGAUGAUGAUGAUGCAGUUCAUUGGUCUUACCGAUUACUGUGGUGCAUCAUAUUAUAGGAAUUAGAUGUGGUGAUAUGACCAAGAGAAAGAUGGGAAAUGAAACCACUGCUCGCAAUACCAUCAUGAGACUACCGAAGGAAUCAUGCCAGAGAAGCUUCUCCAACAAAACUGGAGCUUCACUGGUCAUGAUCAAACAGGCCAUCAGUUGCGCCUGUUCUUUUAUUACCCUGUAACCGAAAUCCUUGAAUUUCUGCUGUAGUUUUUACUCUAAUUUCGGGCUUGCCAUGUCUCAUGGUAAAAGAAUAUGCGCAUCAGUCAUACUGCUAGCCACUCUUUUAAAGAUGCUGCUGCCCUUGUUUAUGGGUGGCUGGGUCUUAUCUUUGCUGCCUGAUUUGUUAUGGUUCCUACUGAUAUAUUUGCCAGCAUGUUCAAAGAUUAUAUUUCACAACAUUGCUUGCACGAGACCCCUAAAUAUCUCUCUAAAUCUUGCCUGCC